rnacentral:misc_RNA from 1 species
CUGUGAUCUUUCUCUGCGGCGACUAUAAGAACGUUCUUGAUUCGUCCUCCAAUUGUAACCAUUUCAGCUCUCAGAGUCCUCAAAUGCAGGGAUUUCAAUAUCUCAAUGAGGUCAGGCAAAAGAUCGGAGCGAUCUUCGCAGCACAAAGAUGCCUUGAAGAUCAAUUGUCCAUCACUUGAACACUCGCCGGAAAGAACAGUGAUCUCAUCGGUUUCUGAUGGGAAGGUCUCGAGCCCUGGAAUUUGUGAGGUCUGUUGCUUGAGUUCUCUCACUCGUUGAACAACUUU